CAGUGAUAAACUGGAGGAAGGUGGGGAUGACGUCAAGUCAUCAUGGCCCUUACGAGUAGGGCUACACACGUGCUACAAUGGCAUAUACAAAGAGAAGCGACCUCGCGAGAGCAAGCGGACCUCAUAAAGUAUGUCGUAGUCCGGAUUGGAGUCUGCAACUCGACUCCAUGAAGUCGGAAUCGCUAGUAAUCGUAGAUCAGAAUGCUACGGUGAAUACGUUCCCGGGCCUUGUACACACCGCCCGUCACACCAUGGGAGUGGGUUGCAAAAGAAGUAGGUAGCUUAACCUUCGGGAGGGCGCUUACCACUUUGUGAUUCAUGACUGGGGUGAAGUCGUAACAAGGUAACCGUAGGGGAACCUGC
rnacentral:rRNA from 2 species